rnacentral:rRNA from 1 species
UACGUAGGGUGCGAGCGUUGUCCGGAAUUAUUGGGCGUAAUGGGCUCGUAGGCGGUCUGUCACGUCGGGAGUGAAAACUCAGGGCUUAACCCUGAGCCUGCUUCCGAUACGGGCAGACUAGAGGUAUGCAGGGGAGAACGGAAUUCCUGGUGUAGCGGUGAAAUGCGCAGAUAUCAGGAGGAACACCGGUGGCGAAGGCGGGUCUCUGGGCCGUAACUGACGCUGAGGAGCGAAAGCGUGGGGAGCGAACAGG